UAUGCGUGGAAGAUCUUGU
rnacentral:snRNA from 1 species